rnacentral:lncRNA from 1 species
AAGGCUGCCCGGGCCCUGCUGGGCUGUGCCAAGGCAGAGUCUGGUCCAGCCAGCCUGACCAUCUGUGAGAAGGCCAGUGGGUACCUGCAGGACAGCCUGGCUACCACACCAGCCAGCAGCUCCAUUGACAAGGCCGUGCAGCUGUUCCUGUGUGACCUGCUUCUUGUGGUGCGCACCAGCCUGUGGCGGCAGCAGCAGCCCCCGGCCCCGGCCCCAGCAGCCCAGGGCACCAGCAGCAGGCCCCAGGCUUCCGCCCUUGAGCUGCGUGGCUUCCAACGGGACCUGAGCAGCCUGAGGCGGCUGGCACAGAGCUUCCGGCCCGCCAUGCGGAGGGCGCGGUGGCGGAGCUGGAGCCGCGGCCCACGCGGCGGGAGCACGCGGAGGCCUUGCUGCUGGCCUCCUGCUACCUGCCCCCCGGCUUCCUGUCGGCGCCCGGGCAGCGCGUGGGCAUGCUGGCUGAGGCGGCGCGCACA